UACGGAGGGAGCUAGCGUUGUUUCGGAAUUACUGGGCGUAAAGCGCGCGUAGGCGGCUUUGUAAGUCAGAGGUGAAAUCCCGGAGCUCAACUCCGGAACUGCCUUUGAGACUGCAUCGCUUGAAUCCGGGAGAGGUGAGUGGAAUUCCGAGUGUAGAGGUGAAAUUCGUAGAUAUUCGGAAGAACACCAGUGGCGAAGGCGCUCACUGGUCCGGGUACUGACGCUGAGGUGCGAAAGCGUGGGGAGCAAACAGG
rnacentral:rRNA from 1 species